GAGGGUAUAGCUCAGUGGUAGAGUGUAUGCUUAGCAUGCAUGAGGUCCUGGGUUCAAUCCCCAGUACCUCCA
rnacentral:tRNA from 1 species